UACGGUGAAUGACUGACCAUGAGUAGAACCAAGAAUUGAUCUAACACAUUCCACAACUUAAACUGAGACAAAGAAACAAGAAUUCGUUGUUACACACUCAAACACAACUUAAACUGAGACAAAGAAACAAGAAUUCGUUGUUACACACUCAAACACACAAAUUCAGUUCGUUACCAAAAAUAUAAUUAACGGGCCUUACGCAUCAACUGGGUCUAACCCAUCAAUUUGUUACAUACGGCCUAAUAUUUUUUUACUGUGUUGGCAACAACAACAAAAGAAAAUUCUCAAAUAUUUAUAACUCCAAUUUAGAAAGAAAAAUCUACUUUGUCUUUCGAAAUUAAUAAUUUUACUCUAUUAUUUCAUAAAAACUGGGAUAAAAAUAUAAAUAAAUAAAAUAAAAUCUAUAUAUAUUAUUAUAAAUGAGUGUUUAUGCCUUUCUGGUGAUGUCACAUCAAAUUACACAUAGAUAAGUGAACUUCCCUCGCGCGGAUACGUUUCACUCAGAAACGAAACUCAUCGUUUCACUCAGAAACGAAACUCAUCGUUUCAUCAAACGCAUAUGUUGAUGGGCUUCCGUUGGUUAUUACGUUGGGCUCUGAGUUUGGCCAGCGAGACCAAAGCACAAACUUUAGGGUUCUUCUUUCACACUGAAUCGAAAAGGCUUCUUCUUCGAUCUCUGUAAACCAGCUAUGGAGCUUCGAGAUUUUCAAUCCACGUGAUAAUUUCCUUUGUAGAUCAUCAAUCUUGACGUUUUGCCUUCUCUUCUAUCAACGGAAACGGUUCCUUCUCUAUCACUCAGGAAUGUGUAUGAAUACAUCGCAGGAGAUGGCGAAGAGGUUCGGUCGGUAAGAUCAGCUCCACAGGGACCUUCACGACGCUCUCGCAACCACCAAAUGUCAGUUAGAUGAGUUCCAAAGCACUGUUCAAUCUAGCUACGACAAUGAUUUGAAAGACGAAACUCGAGACAAGCAUCGUGAGUUUACUUUCGCUAUGGAGACUCAGGUUGUGAAGAUAGAGAAGUCUCACAAAGAAGCUAGAAAAGGAACUCCGAGACGGGUUCGUUUGGACGAAGAUGAUCAAGAUGAUCGUAAUGAGCUUACCCUUUUCUUGUCUGGACCAUCUGACUCUGAAAGGAAACAAAUUUCCACAAAUGGUGUGAAAGUAAAUCAGCUUCAAGAAGAAGUGCUACUGAUGAUUUCGGUGCUUGGAUUGCGGUUUCUGAUGAUGGGGUACUCCACAAAGCUUUGGCGAGCCAUUUGUCUGACCUCCAAGAAAAGUUCCCAGCUUCUCUGGCGUCUUGAACUAUAUGGAAAGCCUUAGAUCGUCAAGGAGAAUCUGAUGCUGCAUUGUUACUUAUCCAAACUAACCAUGCAAGAUCUUCCAACACUAGGAAGAGGUACAGCUUCUUCAGUGAGACCCCUUCGGUGAGCUUGCAUGUUACCAUGGAAACAAAGCAUUUGGAUCAUGCUUGGUGCCACUGAAGUAUUGUCUUAUUUACAUUAAGUUAAGAAAAUAUGGGACCUUAGGCUUGCAAGAGCAGGAUCUCAGGCAGACAGUACUCACGUUACAACUGCAGUAAGUAAUGUUAGUGAAGGCUAUGUUACCAGGAAGCUUCAUGCUUUAGUUUUGUAAUAAGGUAUUGGAAGAUGAGUGAUUGAUUGUGUUAUUUAUGCU